AUUGAACGCUGGCGGUAUGCUUAACACAUGCAAGUCGAACGGCAACACAGUGUGUAGCAAUACACAUGGGUGGCGAGUGGCGGACGGGUGAGGAACACGUAGGAAUCUGCCCUAAAGAGGGGGACAACCCGAGGAAACUCGGGCUAAUACCGCAUAAUACUCUUCGGAGGAAAGGCUGGGGCAACCUGGCGCUUUAGGAGGAGCCUGCGUCCGAUUAGCUAGUUGGUAGGGAAAAGCCUACCAAGGCGACGACGGGUAGCUGGUCUGAGAGGAUGGCCAGCCACAUUGGGACUGAGAGACGGCCCAGACUCCUACGGGAGGCAGCAGUGGGGAAUCUUGCGCAAUGGCCGAAAGGCUGACGCAGCGACGCCGCGUGUGGGAGGACGCCUUUCGGGGU
rnacentral:rRNA from 1 species